GAUGAACGCUGGCGGCGUGCCUAAUACAUGCAAGUCGAGCGAACAGACGAGGAGCUUGCUCCUCUGACGUUAGCGGCGGACGGGUGAGUAACACGUGGAUAACCUACCUAUAAGACUGGGAUAACUUCGGGAAACCGGAGCUAAUACCGGAUAAUAUAUUGAACCGCAUGGUUCAAUAGUGAAAGACGGUUUUGCUGUCACUUAUAGAUGGAUCCGCGCCGCAUUAGCUAGUUGGUAAGGUAACGGCUUACCAAGGCAACGAUGCGUAGCCGACCUGAGAGGGUGAUCGGCCACACUGGAACUGAGACACGGUCCAGACUCCUACAGGAGGCAGCAGUAGGGAAUCUUCCGCAAUGGGCGAAAGCCUGACGGAGCAACGCCGCGUGAAUGAUGAAGGUCUUCGGAUCGUAAAACUCUGUUAUUAGGGAAGAACAAAUGUGUAAGUAACUAUGCACGUCUUGACGGUACCUAAUCAGAAAGCCACGGCUAACUACGUG
rnacentral:rRNA from 1 species